rnacentral:snoRNA from 1 species
UAUGGACAAAUAAUAAGAUUGAUGGAAUUUAGGUGAGCAUUACCUGUCAUAGAUGCUCAUAAAGAACCAUCACACAUAC